CAAAUCCCAAAUCACGAAAAUUUCAAAUUACGCACGCAAAUGCGCACGAGAACAUUUCCUCAGCUACCAGUCUUUGGUCUAGCUUGCCUUAUGCCAUAGCUGGUUACUAGGUUCUUCCAUUGGGUUGAGAGAGAUGUCGUGCCUGGCGUGCUUCGCUUCGUGCUGUGCUACUAUGACCUGCGGCCUCUGCACAUCAGUGGCCUCUGGUAUAUCCAAGAAAUCCGCUAGACUUGCUUACUGUGGUCUCUUUGGUCUGUCUCUGAUCGUUUCUUGGAUUCUCAGAGAAGUUGCUGCUCCGCUCUUGGAGAAACUCCCUUGGAUAAAAUCUUCUGAUACUCACUCAAAGGAGUGGUAUCAAAUACAGGCAGUACUUCGUGUGAGCUUGGGGUGUUUCUUGUUUUUUGCAAUAUUUGCUCUAAUAAUGAUUGGCGUGAAAGACCAAAAUGAUAGACGCGACUCAUGGCACCAUGGUGGAUGGAUUGCAAAGAUGGUGAUCUGGCUUUUGCUUGUUGUCCUCAUGUUUUUCAUGCCUAAUGUCAUCAUCUCCAUCUAUGGUCAGUUAAGUUCCUGGAAUAUAAAUUUGAGCAAUUGUUGUAUCUAGCUGCUUAUCCAGUCCUAGUUGAGGAAUCUGUGAUCGUUAAUUGACAUAACUGUACGCUUAAAUAAGGAUACUAUAUGUUUUUUGGGCCAUUUUUGCCAAUUUUAUUAAAAAUCUGAAUGAGUUGCAGUAAAUGGCUAAAGAAUAUCAAAGUUGAACAAGAAUUUUUAUCUAAAUGACUUAGUUUAACUGGCAAAUUUUAUGUUUUUUUUUGGAACCUGAUUGUUCUAUUGUUGAAGAGCUAAUCUUUUGGCGUGUGCAACUUACAUUGGGAACAUGUUGGGUUUCCAGGACCCAUCCACCACUUUUGCAGGCCCCUUAGGGAUCCUUCAUAGAUUAUAUCUGAUCAUAUUUGCGUGAGAGCAAGGGAAACAAGCAUUGUCAUAGAAACUUUAGAUAAUCUUUUAUUCCUUUAUUUCCCUUUUUUUCUUUGAUGAUAUUUCUCUUGGCCCAUUAUGUUGACAUUGUUGAGACCAAUUUUGUAUUGACUUGUACUCAGAUCUUUUCCUGAUAUUUGAUGCCAAAUAUCAUAAUUGACCUAUGCAAGCAAAAAAUUACUUGCAGGAACUGUAUCCAAAUUUGGGGCAGGGCUAUUUUUGUUGGUUCAAGUGAUUAUAUUGCUAGACUUUACACACUCAUGGAAUGAUGCAUGGGUUGAGAAAGAUGAACAGAAAUGGUUGGCUCAAGUUUAUAUGUCUCAUAAGCUUCUUUUUUAUGACUAUUAUUUGAUUUCUAACCUUUGGAUCACUUGUUUUUUAGGUAUGUUGCUUUACUUGUCAUAUCAGUUGUGUGCUACCUUGCAGCAUUCACAUUUUCUGGCAUUUUGUUUAUAUGGUUCAACCCAUCUGGCCAUGACUGCGGCCUCAAUGUCUUCUUCAUUGUCAUGACCAUGAUUCUUGCAUUUGCUUUUGGCAUAAUAGCAUUACAUCCCACGGUAAGGAUGAGAUUUUAUUCUUUUAUUUAUUGCUGCCCCAUAAAGCAUACAAAUAGUAGUGUGAUCUUGUGAACAUAACUUAUAAAAGUAAUAGUGUGAUCUUGUGGAGAUAACUAUUUAAUUCAUAACUUACUGUGUGAUUGUGAAUGCUAAUUUUGAAUAGGUUAAUGGAAGCCUCUUACCUGCUUCAGUGAUAUCAGUGUAUUGUGCUUAUGUUUGCUACACGGGUCUCUCCAGUGAACCACAUGACUAUGCAUGCAAUGGUCUUCACAACAAAACAAAAGCAGUCUCCACUAGCACACUUGUGCUUGGGAUGCUUACAACUGUUCUCUCAGUCCUAUACUCUGCUGUUCGUGCUGGGUCUUCGACAACAUUUCUAUCACCACCAUCCUCACCUAAGUCAUCAGGUGAUCUUCAUAAUUGUGAAGAAACAAAAUCCUAGAUCAUUUUUCUUUUCUAUGUAUUAUGAUGGGGGACGAAAACAACUUGUUUUCAUCCUUUGAACAGUAUUAAAUGGAAGUCAGGUGUAGUCCUCAGCCAAAAAACUAGGCAGUCUAUCAGUUGUCACCAUUAUUUUUAUAUGCUGACUAUCAAAUUCUUUUUUCAUGUUUUCUAACGAAGGAAAGUUGUGACAGUAAGGUCUUAAAGGUCUUUGAUAUAUGUACUCAUUUAUCUUACCUGGUAUUGCCUGUAAUUUUUGCUCAAUUGCCCAAAACCUGGCACUUGAAUAUGCUACUAAGUUUUUCCAGGGUAGUUUCUUUUCUUGCCCCAUGGAUUACCAACGUUAGUGGUAUGUGAGCAGUCAUGCACGGCAUUUGGUUGCUGGAAAUUUAUUGCAGUCACAGGAAUGAGCCAUUUUUUUUUGGGCUUUCAACCGCUUCAAAAGUUGGAGUUUAUUCUGGUGCAGAAGCAAUAAGCUUUUGAUCUUUCCAUUCAAAUGCAGUAUAACUCUGACCAAGUUGACAGGAAUAUGUUCCUGUAUCUUUAAAGCUAGCAUUCAUCACCAAAUUAAGAAAAUUAAGCUUUACAGUUAUAAGGUUUCUGUAUAUUAAAUUAUUCUAAAUUUGCUAAUUCUUGUGUUGCAGCUGCAAAGAAACCUCUUCUCGAAGAAG
rnacentral:misc_RNA from 1 species